rnacentral:rRNA from 1 species
GACGAACCGUGCGAACGUUGUUCGGAAUCACUGGGCUUAAAGGGCGCGUAGGCGGGCGAGCAAGUCCGGGGUGAAAUCUUUCGGCUUAACCGGAAAAGUGCCUUGGAUACUGCUUGUCUUGAGGGAGGUAGGGGCCUGUGGAACUUCUGGUGGAGCGGUGAAAUGCGUUGAUAUCAGAAGGAACGCCGGUGGCGAAAGCGACAGGCUGGCCCUCUUCUGACGCUGAGGCGCGAAAGCUAGGGGAGCAAACGGG